rnacentral:tRNA from 1 species
GGGGCGGUGGCGAAACUGGCAGACGCAGUGGACUUAAAAUCCUCCGCUCGCGAGAGCGUGUGGGUUCGAAUCCCACCCGCCCUACCU